CCUUAAGUCUCAGAGAGCAGGGGAGUGCUCUUUCUAACAGUCCUGGGUCAUCUCCAAGGGCCUAAAGCUGACACUGCAGCAGAACUCCACCUGGCUCUCCUGCCCAAAUCCACAGGCUUACCGCUAGUACAGUGGUGCUCACCCUGUGGGGUAAAUAUCCUCCAUGUGGCACUUAAAUGACUCUUACUAAAUACUCUUGUUGGGACUGCUUACUAAUGACAAGGCCUGGAGGAGUCACAGAUGAGUUAAGAGUGCAGUCAGAGGAGGAAGCAGAGGAGCAGCGAUAAGAGGCAAGCAGACAGAUACAGUCAGUCUCCUGCUGCUGUCGGCUAGACUCCGGAUGUCAGUGUGGUCACCCCUGAUGCUCUGCCCUUAGGCAAAGCCUCGCUGGAGGCUAUGGAGAGCUACUCUCCGUGGCAGUUUGCACGGAGGCGGCAGAGUAUGACACUUCUGAGUCUCCCCCAUGCUGGGACCAAGGGCAUCAUCUAGGUGGGCAGGGAUUGAAUCUGGGGACAGAGCCUGCUCUGGGGCUGGGUACAGGGCAGUGCUGAGUGGUGCUGAGCUGCCCUGAGGAGUCAAGGUAGAAGAUUCAGACCUGUUGUGGAACUCCCGGAGGUCUUUGGUGGGGAAAGAACUUGCACGCAUUCAUUCAAAUAUUUUAGUGCUUAGAACCUUCCAGACACUGUAUGCUAGCCAUUCAGGACAUCGUGACGUAAGUCCUUGCCCUAAGACCUCACUUUCUGAUCGAAAAGCAAAGGGCUUCAGUAAGCAAAAUUUAGGCACUACACAUUUCUGCACUGGAUUUAAUUGUGCGACGUGGCCAGGAUUCAACAAUCCUUGAGCUGUUUUUUUCCACUUAACCUCUGAAAGCGUAAGACUGACUUAGGAUAAGCGUUGGGCCUGAUAGUCAGGGUUUAGAAGGUCAUGAGGAUCCCUUGGAAGGUCCCCAUGAAGAGAGGUGGUGUGGAAGUUGUCAGCUGAAGGAAGAGAACUCUCCUUCCCUCUCCUUCACUUAAGUCAGGAUGGUAGGAAGUCUGGGCCUAGCCAGAAUUCAAAGCCAGGAAUUGCAUGUGCUGUCUCCUCAGACACAGGACCCCUAACAUAAGGAGGCUGUCCUGCCUUAUCUUCCAAGAUAAGUCAGAAAGAUACCCAGAAACAGCGCUUCAGCGGCUAGGAUUCGAGGGCAGACAGGGAUGGAGGCCUUGGGAAGUGAAGUCACACACGUUUUCAGACAGGCUCACCUCAGGUCAUCUAACUGCGUGUCUGGAGGAGACUGCUAUGUCCAUUCUCCAAACUGGGGGUGAUUACUUCAGCAAAAUAGUAGAUGGGGGAGAUAAAAUGUAAUUUUGUGUGCAGUCUGCCCCUUAUUUUACAACUUUUUAAAACAGCUUAUCAGGCUGGGCACAAAAUGCCUGCUUACCCGAAGAGCCCACUGGAAAGCGGCUCACAGUCUUUGCUAUAAGCAUUCAUGGAAGAGAGAAUAGCACACGGAAGACCUUUAGGCAAGAAAGGGCUAGGCUGGCUUCAGGAAAAGAAGGGAAGGGAAUGACCGAUGGCUGAACAGAGUCAGAGGAUACGUGUAUGCAAUAAGUUGGAAAGGGGCCAGACCAUGUCUCUCCUAGUUCCCACUGCUUAGGCCACAUUUCCACUCAGCAGUUUUGCCUCAGAGACAACGUGAUUCCCAGAGUUAGGCCCAGCGUGUCAUUUCAGUAGAAGUUUGAGGGACAGACGGUGAAGAUCCACUGGGUUCUGACUGGGUACAUGGAGUGUUGGCCCAGUAAUUGAUGAGCCAGGCACAGAGAUGCGCCUGCCUGGAGGAAGGGCACCUCUGCCUUGUCCACAGAAAUGUGUCAGGAAGGCUCCAGGUGGCUUUGAAGCUCUGGCCAGUGCUCCACAAGUCCCGAG
rnacentral:lncRNA from 1 species